UUAAAGUAAAAAGUGUGCUAAAGUAAUCAAAUUCAUAUUUUUAUUUCGUACAAAACUCUCUCGUCAUGCUGGGCAUUAUUAUAUCAUUCUACUGCUAGUUAAGUACGAGGCUAGAAGAAACAAAAUGCGCCUAAUGUGGUCGUGGUAGGCAAAACUAGAAGUAAAAAGACCUGGGUAACAAGAUUGGGAGCACGCAAACUUGAGGCUGAAUUUGAGACGCUGGCGCUAUGCUUGGACCUUGGACACACCUGUGUUGAUAUUUUGCAACAAGAAUUUUAAGUCAUGAGCCGCCAGCCAGGAUUAAAGCAGCUGGCGGGUACUCGUACCUGCAACGUUUCCCAAGGAGCGGCAAAACCCUGGCAGCUUUGACGUGACUGGCAAACUUUUUGGCAGGCGCCGCUAACGAGCUACGUUCUCUUAGAUUUGUAGUGUCAGGAUACCUUUUUUACGACUGCACUUCAGUGUGCCACAUGGCGGUGUGUGUUUGACCUCUGACACUAAAACAAUUUGCAAAGCAACAUGAUGUCAGCACGAGUGUCAUCGUCAGCGUCGGCGCUGCCAUAAUUCAGUUGAAACAUUCUUAAAGCACCGCUUGUCGUUAAGCUUCACGGAUGGAUAGCGCGUUAGCUGGUGGGACAAGUAGCUGGGCAGCCCCAGCUCCGCGCAUACCUCAUUAAAAAGUUUUCCAGCGACAACGUCGACAGCAGCGGCAGCAGCAACAGACACAUUGCCUAAGAAAAUGUUAGCAUGGACACAGAUCGCAUCGGGGCGGGGCCUGGCCUGGCCUGAGUAGCACCCUACCACCUUCAUGAUUAUCUAAGAGAUAUCUUAAAGAUAAUCCGAAACAGUGCGGAUGGCUCAACGCAAGCUCAAAAGUGAAAUGUUUCGACUUGUCAGCCAAGUCAUUAAUUAUUCAUAAUACUGCGGUCAGGCCUGGCCCAGCUCUGUCGUCUCUAUUACUAAACAUCUGUAUACCCUAGCAGAGUAUGCUACACUUUGGUGACAUUGAUAACAUCACAGGUAACAUUGAUAUAAAGCAGUGCACGCAACAUUUAAAAUGCAUUAUAAAUAGAAAUAGAAAUAUAAAUAUAAAUAUAACUCAUCAGUACUCGGAUGUAAA